UACGUAGGCAGCAAGCGUUGUUCGGAUUUAUUGGGCGUAAAGAGCGUGUAGGCGGCUUUACAGGUCCGUUGUGAAAACUCGAGGCUCAACCUCGAGACGCCGGUGGAAACCGUAAGGCUAGAGUCCGGAAGAGGAGAGUGGAAUUCCUGGUGUAGCGGUGAAAUGCGCAGAUAUCAGGAGGAACACCCGUGGCGAAAGCGGCUCUCUGGGACGGUACUGACGCUGAGACGCGAAAGCGUGGGGAGCAAACAGG
rnacentral:rRNA from 1 species